GCGCCCGCCACCACGCCCGGCUAAUUUUUUGUAUUUUUAGUAGAGACGGAGUUUCACCGUGUUGGCCCGGGUGGUCUCGAUCUGCUGACCUCGUGAUCCACCCGCCUUGGCCUCUCAAAGUGCUGGGAUUACAGGCGUGAGCCACCGCGCCCGCCGGAGGUCGCAUUUCAACGUGAGAUUUGUCGAGGAGACAAACAUCCAAACCAUAUCAGUGAGAGUUUUGGGAACCCCUGAACUGGUGAUUGGCUGGGCAGAAAUUAAGGAUAUGACAGGGAUUUUUCCUUCAGUCGGGCCUUUGCACGGCAGGGUAUGAUAAGGAUGUUUCUCCCCGCCUGAACCCCCGUGGAAUAUUUCACUUUGACCUGCAAAAUGGCAGAAGGCUUCCAAAAUGGUGCAGUUUGGACUAACAUUGGAUCUUUCUCUGUUUCCCAUAUUUGCUGAGGAGAAGCCACAAGCUCAAGCGGCUCCUACUGUUGUCCCAGGGAUGCUAGACAGGGUCUCCCUCCCGCCACUCUGUCAUCCAGGCUGGCGUGCAAUGGCGCCAUCACGACUCACUGCAGCUUCGACCUCCCGGGCUCAAGUGAUUCUCUCACCUCAGCCUCCCGAGUAGCUGGGACCACAGGUACACACCACCAUGUCCAGCUAAUUUUUGUAUAACUUUUCCAUAAUAAACAAAAAAAAAGGAUCUCAAUUGUGGAACAAUUUUAGGAAUCCUUUAUUUUACUUGUAUUUUCCUUUAUUGUUCGCAAUAAAUACACCCAUAAAAGCUCUUUCAGUAAAUAAGAAAUAAAAAUUCCAAGUGGUAAGGAAGCAUUGUUGCAUCUUAUAGACAGUAUACACUUUUCUUUCUUUGUAACAACCAUAAAAGUGGAGUUUCUUAGAGUCCAUGAAAUGCAGUAUCUAAAACAUUCCCCAGAAGGAAUAAUGCUAAUAAUAGCAACUGAUGGGCCAGACAUGGUGGCUCAUGCCUGUAAUUCCAGCACUUUGGGAGGCCGAGGCAUGUGGAUUACCUGAGGUCAGGAGAUCGAGACCAGCCUGGCCAACAUGGUGAAAUGCUGUUUCUACUACAAAUACAAAACUUAGCUCGUGUGGUGGCAGGCAUCUGUAAUCCCAGCUACUUGGGAGGCCAAGGCAGGAAAAUUGCUGGAACCCAGGAGGCAGAGGUUGCAGUGAGCUGAGAUCAUACUGCUGCACUCCAGCCUGGGCAACAGGGUAAGAU
rnacentral:lncRNA from 1 species